GGCAGCUGAACCAUCAUGCAUCUGCAGGGCAGCCUUGAGUAACUCAGGAGUUACUGCCUCUCAUGGGGGCAAGAUGCAGAUGAUCAGCUGCCACCUGGCCAGAUUACAAAGAAGGAAGAAAGAAAGAAAUGCACCUGGGCUUAGAUCCAAUUGGAUUACUGUCAACCCCAUCCAGCUGAGAAGGGGAAAGACAGAUGUAUUGAUGGGCACUGAAAUGAGAUGGAACAAAAGACGACAACCUGAGCAGGGAAGAAAAGGCCUGCAAAGCUUGGUGCGAUCCAAGGAGGAUGAAGUUAAUUUAGCAUUUCCUUCACCAGCAAGGAGAGGACGUGAGAUGCGAGAGCAGGAGCAACUGGGAGAGAAAAUGGAAAUGGACCAAUUCCAAAGGCAAAGCUGAGGUGGUUGUUGAUGCUGCUGGGAAAGACACUAAACACUAAGCAUGGGAUGUCGUGUGAGAUGAGAAGCUCUCCAAAUACAUAAAGGGAAGGUAAAUGAUGGAUUCUUCAUGAUGGGGCCCCAGAUGUUGCAGAGGUGAAGCUGCAGUGGG
rnacentral:lncRNA from 14 species